rnacentral:misc_RNA from 1 species
GGAUAAAAGUGCUAUUCAGGAUCAGUUAUUUCCUGCUUCAUGUGCUUCUGUGCAACCUAGUGCGGCGAGCUUUGACAUUCCCAGACCUAGAGAGUCAUGCCAGCAAAUUGGAAGCUCUUCAAGCACAUCUAAGGUUAAUUAUUCAACUUUUGCCUCUGGCACACAUUCUGAAGUGCAAUGGAGCAGUAAACAAACUGAGAUAUCAGGCACAGGUCAACAACAGCAAAAUAAUGACUUUAUUCUGCAACAGAUCCUUGAUUUGAAAAGGCUCCAGCUGACUGAGAUGGAUAACAGUUCACCUGUGGUUCGUGCUCGAGAAGAAAUGGAUGUAUCUUCUUCAAUAUUUGAAACUUUGGAUAAGUUGGAUGACAGUGUUGAUCAUUUUCGGCAUUCUCAAGUUCCAGGUAACAGUGGCUAUCCUCUUCAGGACCUAAAGGUGGACUCUUUGCCUUUGUCAUUUUCUCAACCAGAAAAUUUGCCCUUGCCUUCAACUGCUGCAAAUCCUUUGCUUGGAGAAUCGUUUUGGCAAUGCAAAAGCCCAAUUCAAAGUAGCCAGUUGUGGUCUCAAAAUAUGCAAGAUCUUGGGGUCUGUGAAGACAUUGUUUCUCAUGAUGAUUUUAACAUGCCUGAUCUCGACAUAACAUUUCGCAACUUUGAGGAACUGUUUGGAACUGAGAAAGACCCAGAUCCUAUCAGGGCACUGCUUGAUGAUAAAGGUGCAUCAAGCUCCUCUGUGGAGGACAUGUCCCUUGGUACAUCACAUAACAGAAAUGCAAGAACAAAGGAGGACACUUUUAUUGCUUCUUCUGUUUACGUUAGUCAGCCCGGUCACAUGGACAAAGACAAGGUUCCUUCUAGCCAGAUUUAUGACUUGCCUGGAACUCUGCAUUCUCCUCGGACAAUUCGGCCAUCUUAUUCAGCAAUGUCAUUCUCUCUUUCAAGGUUUAGCGCUGAAAGCAGUGGCACUGAAUAUCUUGAUAGUGGACUUUCACCGCAUGUCACUGGGGCUGAAGUUGGGGCUGAAGUUUCAUGUCAUUUACCAGACAUUGAGGGUGCACAUUCAGACAUAAAAGAAAAUGGAAUGACAAGGUACAAAGUGAAGCAGAAGACUCGAGUGUAAGUAUUAGCUUAAAUCUUCUGUCGGGUUUUGAAAAUCUUAAUCUCGAAAUGUAUUU